rnacentral:rRNA from 1 species
CUACGGGCGGCUCCAGUGGGGAAUAUUGCACAAUGGAGGAAACUCUGAUGCAGCAACGCCGCGUGGAGGAUGACACUUUUCGGAGCGUAAACUCCUUUUAUAUAGGAAGAAGAUGACGGUACUAUAUGAAUAAGCGCCGGCUAACUCCGUGCCAGCAGCCGCGGUAAUACGGAGGGCGCAAGCGUUACUCGGAAUCACUGGGCGUAAAGAGCGUGUAGGCGGAUUAAAAAGUCAGAAGUGAAAUCCUAUAGCUUAACUAUAGAACUGCUUCUGAAACUCUUAAUCUAGAAUAUGGGAGAGGUAGAUGGAAUUUCUGGUGUAGGGGUAAAAUCCGUAGAGAACAGAAGGAAUACCGAUUGCGAAGGCGAUCUACUAGAACAUUAUUGACGCUGAGACGCGAAAGCGUGGGGAGCAAACAGGAUUAGAUACCCGUGGUAGUC